rnacentral:rRNA from 1 species
CGGGGUGCAGCAGGCGCGAAAACUUUACAAUGCGGGAAACCGUGAUAAGGGGACACCGAGUGCCAGCAUCAUAUGCUGGCUGUCCAGGUGUGUAAAAUACACCUGUCAGCAAGGGCCGGGCAAGACCGGUGCCAGCCGCCGCGGUAACACCGGCGGCCCGAGUGGUGAUCGUGAUUAUUGGGUCUAAAGGGUCCGUAGCCGGUUUGGUCAGUCCUCCGGGAAAUCUGACGGCUCAACCGUUAGGCUUUCGGGGGAUACUGCCAGGCUUGGAACCGGGAGAGGUAAGAGGUACUACAGGGGUAGGAGUGAAAUCUUGUAAUCCCUGUGGGACCACCUGUGGCGAAGGCGUCUUACCAGAACGGGUUCGACGGUGAGGGACGAAAGCUGGGGGCACGAACCGGAUUAGAUACCCGGGUAGUCCCAGCCGUAAACGAUGCUCGCUAGGUGUCAGGCAUGGCGCGACCGUGUCUGGUGCCGCAGGGAAGCCGUGAAGCGAGCCACCUGGGAAGUACGGCCGCAAGGCUGAAACUUAAAGGAAUUGGCGGGGGAGCAC